GACGAACGCUGGCGGCGUGCUUAACACAUGCAAGUCGAACGGUGAAGGGGUCUGCUUUUGUGGGCCCUGGAUGAGUGGCGAACGGGUGAGUAACACGUGAGUAACCUGCCCCCUUCUUCUGUAUAACCGCAUGAAAGUGUGGCUAAUACGGGCUAUUCUGGGUCUGUCGCAUGCUGGGUCUGGGACAGAUUGCGCCUUUGGGGGUUUUUGGUGGGGGAUGGGCUCGCGGCCUAUCAGCUUGUUGGUGGGGUGAUGGCCUACCGAGGCGGUGACGGGUGGCCGGGCUGAGAGGGUGGACGGUCACACUGGGACUGAGACACGGCCCAGACUCCUACGGGAGGGAGCGGUGGGGAAUAUUGCACGAUGGGCGCAAGCCUGAUGCAGCGACGCCGCGUGAGGGAUGGAGGCCUUCGGGUUGUAAACCUCUUUCGCCAGUGAAGCAGGCCUGCUCCUUGUGGGUGGGUUGACGGUAGCUGGAUAAGAAGCGCCGGCUAACUACGUG
rnacentral:rRNA from 1 species